CAUAGGUACAUACAUAGCAAGGUGGUUUGCCGCCUUCGUCCCCCCAUCACCUAUAUCUGGUGCUUCUCCUUCAUUAUCCCUCCCCAUACUCCCCACCCCUGAUGCUGUACUUUUAAAA